UACGUAGGGUGCAAGCGUUGUCCGGAAUUAUUGGGCGUAAAGAGCUCGUAGGCGGUUUGUCGCGUCUGCUGUGAAAACGCGAGGCUCAACCUCGCGCCUGCAGUGGGUACGGGCAGACUGGAGUUCGGCAGGGGAGACUGGAAUUCCUGGUGUAGCGGUGAAAUGCGCAGAUACCAGGAGGAACACCGGUGGCGAAGGCGGGUCUCUGGGCCGAUACUGACGCUGAGGAGCGAAAGCGUGGGGAGCGAACAGG
rnacentral:rRNA from 1 species